GAGGGAGGGAGGGACAGAGAAUUGAAGAGAGAAAUUGCAGACAAAUUAAGAUAAAUGAAUUGUUUAAUUGUUGCAUGUGGUUUUCAUCUUGUUGUGGAGCUGCUAAUUUACCUUGUAAAGGUAAAUGCGAAAAGACUUACAGAAAAAAUCACAUGUGAAAUAACAAGGUUAUUUUCCCGUUGCGCUGCUAGUUCAAAAGAAACGUCAUUUUAUAGUCUGCCCUACUGUGCGAUUCUCGUGAGUUCAAGUUUGUGGAUUAUAUAUUUAUGUAG